AUGAACGCUAGCUACAGGCUUAACACAUGCAAGUCGAGGGGCAGCAUGGUCUUAGCUUGCUAAGGCCGAUGGCGACCGGCGCACGGGUGAGUAACACGUAUCCAACCUGCCGUCUACUCUUGGACAGCCUUCUGAAAGGAAGAUUAAUACAAGAUGGCAUCAUGAGUCCGCAUGUUCACAUGAUUAAAGGUAUUCCGGUAGACGAUGGGGAUGCGUUCCAUUAGAUAGUAGGCGGGGUAAUGGCCCACCUAGUCUUCGAUGGAUAGGGGUUCUGAGAGGAAGGUCCCCCACAUUGGAACUGAGACACGGUCCAAACUCCUACGGGAGGCAGCAGUGAGGAAUAUUGGUCAAUGGGCGAGAGCCUGAACCAGCCAAGUAGCGUGAAGGAUGACUGCCCUAUGGGUUGUAAACUUCUUUUAUAAAGGAAUAAAGUCGGGUAUGCAUACCCGUUUGCAUGUACUUUAUGAAUAAGGAUCGGCUAACUCCGUGCCAGCAGCCGCGGUAAUACGGAGGAUCCGAGCGUUAUCCGGAUUUAUUGGGUUUAAAGGGAGCGUAGAUGGAUGUUUAAGUCAGUUGUGAAAGUUUGCGGCUCAACCGUAAAAUUGCAGUUGAUACUGGAUAUCUUGAGUGCAGUUGAGGCAGGCGGAAUUCGUGGUGUAGCGGUGAAAUGCUUAGAUAUCACGAAGAACUCCGAUUGCGAAGGCAGCCUGCUAAGCUGCAACUGACAUUGAGGCUCGAAAGUGUGGGUAUCAAACAGGAUUAGAUACCCUGGUAGUCCACACGGUAAACGAUGAAUACUCGCUCGUUGCGAUAGACGGCAAGCGGCCAAGCUAAAGCGUUAAGUAUUCCACCUGGGGAGUACGCCGGCAACGGUGAAACUCAAAGGAAUUGACGGGGGCCCGCACAAGCGGUGGAGUAUGUGGUUUAAUUCGACGCAACGCGAAGAACCUUACCAGGUCUUGACAUUGAUCGCCAUUCACAGAAAUGUGAAGUUCUCCUUCGGGAGACGAGAAAACAGGUGGUGCACGGCUGUCGUCAGCUCGUGUCGUGAGAUGUUGGGUUAAGUCCCGCAACGAGCGCAACCCUUAUGGUCAGUUACUACGCAAGAGGACUCUGGCCAGACUGCCGUUGACAAAACGGAGGAAGGUGGGGAUGACGUCAAAUCAGCACGGCCCUUACGUCCGGGGCUACACACGUGUUACAAUGGGGGGUACAGAGGGCCGCUACCACGCGAGUGGAUGCCAAUCCCAAAAACCUCUCUCAGUUCGGACUGGAGUCUGCAACCCGACUCCACGAAGCUGGAUUCGCUAGUAAUCGCGCAUCAGCCACGGCGCGGUGAAUACGUUCCCGGGCCUUGUACACACCGCCCGUCAAGCCAUGGGAGCCGGGGGUACCUGAAGUGCGUAACCGCGAGGAGCGCCCUAGGGUAAAACUGGUGACUGGGGCU
rnacentral:rRNA from 1 species